rnacentral:rRNA from 1 species
CCUACGGGGGGCAGCAGUGAGGAAUAUUGGUCAAUGGGCUUACGCCUGAACCAGCCAAGUCGCGUGAGGGAAGACUGCCCUAUGGGUUGUAAACCUCUUUUGUCAGGGAGCAACGCCGGCUACGUGUAGCCGGACUGAGAGUACCUGAAGAAAAAGCAUCGGUGAACUCCGUGCCAGCAGCCGCGGUAAUACGGGGGAUGCGAGGGUUAGCCGGUUUUAUUGGGUUUAAAGGUUGCGUAGGCGGAAUGCCAAGUCAGCGGUAAAAUCGCGGGGCUCAACCUCGCCCCGCCGUUGAAACUGGCGUUCUUGAGUGGGCGAGAGGUAUGCGGAAUGCGUGGUGUAGCGGUGAAAUGCUUAGAUAUCACGUAGAACUCCGAUUGCGAAGGCAGCAUACCGGCGCCCAACUGACGCUGAGGCACGAAAGCGUGGGUAUCGAACAGGAUUAGAUACCCCGGUAGUC